rnacentral:misc_RNA from 1 species
GGCAAUUAACGCAGCGUUCCGCAACAUGUGCAUAUGCGUGUAAAGGUAUCACAGGGUGACAGAGGGCGCUGCCGAUGCCCUGCCUUGAGCACGGCGUCGCCUCUCAACCAGUGGAAACUGUCAGACGCUGAACAGGGAGGCUCGAGGGUGGAAUAAGAGACUGGACUCGGGGAUAUCGACUUUUUUUUUUAUAGAAAGCCUUUGUUGGUUGAAGCUGUGUCAUUCCUUGAUUGAUGUUACGUAUCUAGCGCGCUCUUACGUGACUAAAAGACUGAACUGUCUCAAUAAAUCGUGGAAAUACAUUUCCUGUUUUUUUUCCAGGUGGAUGAGGUGGAACCUUUGGCCGAUGAGCCAAGUACAGGAUGACCUUAGUUUUGCCAGCGUUUUGUAGUAACCACCCUCCCAACUCAAACUUAUCUCUAUUUCCCGAGAGUACCACCAUCUCAAGUAUGCCUUGUGGUUUUGACAGCGAACCUUUGGAAUUUGAGUCGGUGUUGUUUUCAGGCGAGUGGCCGUCAUCGUUACGGGACAUGCCCGGGUCAACACAGGACAGUGACUCAUUGAAAACUGCCCCAGGGUCAUCUGGUGGCGACGUAUCUGAAGGCCGAGAGCUGCCCUCUAGUGACAACAAGAGAAAGUUUCCUCGGGUUGAAGAAUUGGGCGUAAAGCGUGCGAAGAAAGAAGACGAUGUUGACAGUUAUGUUGACGUUAAAGAAGAGAAAACAGAUGUUGAUCCGGUUAAUACUGUUCUAGUGUCAGACUUGGAUGUGAAAAGUGUUGGCCAACAGUUAGAACAAGGUCAAGAUGAAGAAAUGCCUAUUGAUGAUCUGUUACUUCCUCCUCGACGGCGUGUGCCACAACUGUGGAGUACACGCAUGCGUUGGAAAGACGAACGGCGAAAGGUAUUAAAGUUGUCGAUGAACAAGUUACGGCGCAUUAAGGAUCCCGAGGCUUCUUUGUGUCGUUCAGUACUCAUCAACAACACCGUCAAAUAUUUGCAACAGGAGAUCCGUGAAGAAAAAAAUGCUGGCCACCGUGUGGUGGGAAGAAACAAUUAUAUCUCAGACUCCAGCCCGUCUUCCGCUUGUGAACCAUUCUCUUCACACCCAACUUCCCGAAGUUGGGCUUUCGAUGCUGAGCCCACUGACGUUAUUCCUCGAAAAUCUCGCAGUGAUUCAGUUUCCUUCUCUCCAAGCAGUAGCGUAGGGGAAGACACGACCAACUACGAUGAAAUAUUCUGUUUGGACGAAGACGUGUUACGAGUUGAUUUUCCCAGUAGACACUCUCAGCCGCAAUCAAACAGCGGAUCCGUUUCUGGUCAGUUAGCUAGCUGUGACUCAGUAGCCUCCUGCACGUGCACCGCCUCAAGCGGCAGCAAUAGCGUAGUUAUUGCAUGUUCCAAACCUCAUUCAUCCAGUCACAAAGGAAAGAAUCUGGACGACUAUAGUUCACGCCGUCAGACAGCUUCUCCCAACCCAUGUGCCACACAAUACCGCAUCAACCAUGAGUCAUACCUCUCCGACGUGUCGGUGCUGGACUCGGUUGUGUAUCAAAGUCUUUUAGCAUCAUUGGAAUCGUGAGAGCAGUGUAACAAUCAGUCUUAAAAUAACGUGUUAAAAUUGUGAUUAUUUGUCAGUUAAUCGGCCGAACAAUACCACGUUGCUACUCCAUUCUAUCCACCAUUCUUCGCCAUAUAAGUAGGCAAGGACAAACAAAUAGCUUCAUGGAGGCAGCCGUAAAGUUGGUUUUGUAUAUUAAUACAUAUAUGUACAUUGUCGUUGGCCUAUUUCCACCACAGAUUUGUCUAGAUUUCAGAACUGACCCUGUUUUUGAGUAAAGUGACAACUCCUGAAGAGUUCUCCCGGGCUUUUUGAAAACAGAAAUCUACCAAUUAAAAAAAAAAAAAA